CAGCAGCCGCGGUAAUACGGAGGGUGCAAGCGUUAAUCGGAAUUACUGGGCGUAAAGCGCACGCAGGCGGUUUGUUAAGUCAGAUGUGAAAUCCCCGGGCUCAACCUGGGAACUGCAUCUGAUACUGGCAAGCUUGGGUCUCGUAGAGGGGGGUAGAAUUCCAGGUGUAGCGGUGAAAUGCGUAGAGAUCUGGAGGAAUACCGGUGGCGAAGGCGGCCCCCUGGACGAAGACUGACGCUCAGGUGCGAAAGCGUGUGGAGCAAACAGGAUUUAACA
rnacentral:rRNA from 1 species